rnacentral:guide_RNA from 1 species
UGGUAAACUACAAAAUGCUAAUUCAAUGGGUGAACAAG